GAGUUUGAUCAUGGCUCAGAACGAACGCUGGCGGCGCGCCUAACACAUGCAAGUCGAGCGAUUGAAGCCUUCGGGCCGAUUUAGCGGCGGACGGGUGAGUAAGGCAUAGGUAAUCUGCUUCUUAGUGGGGGACAACCGGCCGAAAGGCUGGCUAAUACCGCAUAAGCUGCCUGGGUGAAUACCAGUCAGUAAAGGCUUCGGCCGCUUUGAAAUGAGCCCUAUGUAGGAUUAGGUAGUUGGUGGGGUAAAAAGCUCACCAAGCCGACGAUCCUUAGCUGGUCUGAGAGGAUGAUCAGCCACACUGGAACUGAGACACGGUCCAGACUCCUACGGGAGGCAGCAGUGAGGAAUUUUGCGCAAUGGGGGAAACCCUGACGCAGCGACGCCGCGUGGAGGAUGAAAGUCCCUU
rnacentral:rRNA from 1 species